rnacentral:rRNA from 1 species
UGGGGAAUAUUGCACAAUGGGCGCAAGCCUGAUGCAGCAACGCCGCGUGAGGGACGACGGCCUUCGGGUUGUAAACCUCUUUUAGUAGGGAAGAAGCGAAAGUGACGGUACCUGCAGAAAAAGCACCGGCUAACUACGUGCCAGCAGCCGCGGUAAUACGUAGGGUGCGAGCGUUGUCCGGAAUUAUUGGGCGUAAAGAGCUCGUAGGCGGUCUGUCGCGUCUGCUGUGAAAACCCGAGGCUCAACCUCGGGCCUGCAGUGGGUACGGGCAGACUAGAGUGCGGUAGGGGAGAAUGGAAUUCCUGGUGUAGCGGUGGAAUGCGCAGAUAUCAGGAGGAACACCGAUGGCGAAGGCAGUUCUCUGGGCCGUAACUGACGCUGAGGAGCGAAAGCGUGGGGAGCGAACAGGAUUAGAUACCCUGGUAGUCCACGCCGUAAACGUUGGGCGCUAGAUGUGGGGACCAUUCCACGGUUUCCGUGUCGCAGCUAACGCAUUAAGCGCCCCGCCUGGGGAGUACGGCCGCAAGGCUAAAACUUAAAGGAAUUGACGGGGUCAUAGCUGUUUCCU